UCCAUAUCCUGCAAGCUGGCCUCUUCUUUUCCAAUGGCUAUGGCUCGGAUGAAGAACCCCACUGGCACCAAUGUAGAGCUCAAUCAUUGUUGAAACACCCUCUUCUCCCUACUUCGACUGUUAAAAUCAUGAUGGGAUUUGAGAGAAAUGUGAGAACAAGGUGCACUAAAGUAUCAUUAAGUUUUCUCUCUCUGUUUUUUUCUCUCUUGGAGGCAUGCCAUUAUAAACUUAUAAUAACUAACCUGGGCAAGUUAUUUGACUGGACGAUCUUGGCCAUUCAUCUGGUUCAAAUGAUUGUGCCAUGGGGUAAGUCAAUCUGAAAAAGUUUUGAUAAUAUAAGCACACCUGUAAUUCCUUAUGGAUGACAUAUUUGGUGGGUCGACCCAAUCAACCUACUCAAGUUUUAAAACAUUGUGAAAUACAGGUAUACACUUUUUCUUUUGUGCCCUAUAUAAUGAUCAAGUGAAUUGACAAAAAUGGUUUUCUGAUAAACUAGUCAAGCAAACUAGCAGAUCUGCUCC
rnacentral:lncRNA from 1 species